GACGAACGCUGGCGGCGUGCCUAAUACAUGCAAGUAGGACGCAGUUGCGAACGGGUGAGUAACGCGUAGGUAACUGCCUAUUAGAGGGGGAUAACUAUUGGAAACGAUAGCUAAUACCGCAUACUAGUAGAUGGACCUGCGUGGUAUUAGCUAGUAGGUAGGGUAAUGGCCUAACUAGGCCACGUUACAUAACCGAACUGGGAGGGUGAGCGGCCAACCUGGGACUGAGACACGGCCCAGACUCCUACGGGAGGCAGCAGUAGGGAAUCUUCGGCAAUGGUGGGAACCCUGAACGAGCAACGCCGCGUGGGUGAAGAAGGUUUUCGGAUCGUAAAGCUCUGUUGUUAAGGAAGCGGUACUUAACCAGAAAGGGACGGCUAACUACGUGCCAGCAGCCGCGGUAAUUC
rnacentral:rRNA from 1 species